rnacentral:lncRNA from 1 species
GUCCAGUGUCCCUCAGUUCAAUCCCUGGUACCCGCCCCCCACCACUACCAAAACAAAUGAAUGCAGGCUUAGGAAGAAGGAGCAAAGGAGGGCAUCAAUUGUAAACAGAACACUCUUCCAAAGUAAAGGCCAAAUGAGGCCAUGAAUUGAAGGAAAUUUCACAAUAGCUCAAAAGGAGAAAGGAAUGGGAGGACUGAGUCACACUUGGCAGAGGCGUUUUUUUUGCUUUUUGUUUUUGUUUUUGGUACCAGGGAAUUGAACCCAGGUCGCUUAACCACUGAGCCACACACCCCAUCCCUUUUUAUAUUUUAUUCAAAGACAGGGUCUCACUGAGUUGCUUAGGGCCUCCCUAAGUUGCUGAGGCUGGCUUUGAACUCCCAAUCCUCCUGCCUUAGCCUCCGGAGCCGCUGGGAUUACAGGCGGGCACCACUGCAUCCAGCUUCUGUAAGGUUUUACUCCAGGGUAAGCAGCAACUUAGGAC